rnacentral:rRNA from 1 species
GACGAACGCUGGCGGCGUGCCUAAUACAUGCAAGUAGAACGCUGAAGGAGGAGCUUGCUUCUCUGGAUGAGUUGCGAACGGGUGAGUAACGCGUAGGUAACCUGCCUGGUAGCGGGGGAUAACUAUUGGAAACGAUAGCUAAUACCGCAUAAGAGUAGAUGUUGCAUGACAUUUGCUUAAAAGGUGCAAUUGCAUCACUACCAGAUGGACCUGCGUUGUAUUAGCUAGUUGGUGGGGUAACGGCUUACCAAGGCGACGAUACAUAGCCGACCUGAGAGGGUGAUCGGCCACACCGGGACUGAGACACGGCCCAGACUCCUACGGGAGGCAGCAGUAGGGAAUCUUCGGCAAUGGACGGAAGCCUGACCGAGCAACGCCGCGUGAGUGAAGAAGGUUUUCGGAUCGUAAAGCUCUGUUGUAAGAGAAGAACGAGUGUGAGAGUGGAAAGUUCACACUGUGACGGUAUCUUACCAGAAAGGGACGGCUAACUACGUG